rnacentral:RNase_P_RNA from 2 species
CGAGUUGGCCGGGCAGUCGCUGCAUGGAGAUUACUGGUAUUUAUCAGUGUAUCUGUGUGGAGGAAAGUCCGGGCUCCGAAGGGUAGGGCGCCAGAUAACGUCUGGGGGGCGAAAGCCUACGGAAAGUGCAGCAGAGAGUAGACCGCCUAAGUCUUCAGUCGAAGACCGGUAAGGGUGAAAGGGUGCGGUAAGAGCGCACCGCAUGGCUGGCAACAGUUCAUGGCACGGUAAACCCCGCCUGGAGCAAGACCAAAUAGGGACCCUACAGGUGUGUACCCGCACUGGGUCCGGGUAGGUUGCUUGAGGUGUCUGGUGACAGGCAUCCCAGAUGAAUGACUGCUCAGGCUGGACAGAAUUUUAUUCUGGCUGGCCGGACAGAACCCGGCUUACAGGCCAACUCGCUUC